GUUGCUUUAAAGGUCAGGGUCACUGCAAAUCAAUAUAAGUUCUUCUGACUGAUCACCUUUAUCCUAUGAUGAAACAUUUCUAUGCUGAUGGGAGUGGUUUCUUUCAGCAUGACCCCUUCCAUAUCUACCGGGUAUGAGGGUUCACUAAAUGAUAUGAUGAGUAUGAAAAUCAGGUAAAUCAUACGAUAUGGCCUGCCCAUUCAACAGAUCUCAGAGAUUUUGGAGCAACGUUUUAGAUAGGACUGUCUACCACCAUCAUUAACAUUUUCAUUUGAGGGAAUAUCUUUUGAAAGAAUGGUCUUCAUUCCUCCAGUACAUUUCUAGAAAUUUGUAGAAUCUCUGCUAAGGUGCACUGAGGCUGUUAUGGAGGCUUUUGGUGGCCCAACUCUUUACCAAGACACUUUUGUUGGUUUUUCCUUUGAUUUGCCACCCCGCUCUGAUGUUGUCUCCUUCAGUUUGACUCGGCCAUGCAUGCUUCCACAUAGGCCACAUAGGUCCUAGAGCAUGCAUAUAUAUAUAUAUAUACACACACACAUCUAACAAGGUGCUGGUAUUGCUUCCAAAGCUGAUGCCUAUACGGUAACCUAAUGCCUGGGAACUUUUCAGAUUUUUUCUCUUGUAAAAAAAAUCUUGCAAAAUUGUACAUUUCAGUAAACAUAUGUACAUUUGUGAAGACUAUGGUGGACUAAAUUUUGUACAAAUAAAAUUUUCAAUUUGCAAAUCUGAGGAGCACUGUUUAACUGGCAAGGCAGUGUAAUAAAUAGAAGUUCCAUUACUAGGGUUCAUGCCACUGUGGAGGUGGCACUUGCAAAACCUUCUGUGGUCGAAAACGGCUGUUUCACUGACAGAUGCAAUGAAAUAAAUUGGAUCUUCACUGCUAAUGCUGAUGUCUUUGACCAACUACACACUCAGAGUAAACACCUAAAGUCAAUAAAUAAAUGUUAUCUGUCACCUUGAACAUAAUUGUCUGUGAUGUGGAAGGACUGGAAUUUAGAGAGGAACAUAUAUUCUCAGGGUUAGAGGUGAAACAUGUAAAACACUACACUUUUAUGCUACACAACUCCUCCAUUUGAUUAUGUAACGUUUCGACUCAUACCGGUAGAAACACAGGCUGGUUCUCUGAACACCCACUUGCAUCGUGUUGGUGGAAUUUUUCAUGAAUUUUUUUUGUUUUAAAUAUACAUAUAGAUGAAAACCAGCCAUUCUGAUUAGCUUAUUGGUGUACAUAGGCAUGCAGUAGGAAAACAAUUGUGUAUGCAUUCAAUUUGUUACUAUAAUGGUCAGUCCAUUGGAUCUUGUCAUAUGUGGGUGAAAUAUGAGUCAUCA
ensembl:lncRNA